UAUGGCUCAGGAUGAACGCUAGCGGCAGGCUUAACACAUGCAAGUCGAGGGGCAGCGCGAGUAGCAAUACUUGGCGGCGACCGGCGCAAGGGUGCGUAACGCGUGAGCAACAUGCCCGUAUCAGGGGGAUAAUCCAGGGAAACUUGGUCUAAUACCCCAUAGUAAUUUUGUAAGGCAUCUUAUAAGAUUUAAAGCUUUGGUGGAUACGGAUUGGCUCGCGUGACAUUAGCUGGAUGGUAAGGUAACGGCUUACCAUGGCUAUGAUGUCUAGGGGUUCUGAGAGGAAGGUCCCCCCACACUGGAACUGAGACACGGUCCAGACUCCUACGGGAGGCAGCAGUGAGGAAUAUUGGACAAUGGAUGGAAAUCUGAUCCAGCCAUGCCGCGUGAAGGAAAGAAGGUCCUAUGGAUUGUAAACUUCUUUUGUAUGGGAGCAAUAAGGCCUACGAGUAGGUUGAUGAGAGUACCAUACGAAUAAGCACCGGCUAACUCCGUGCCAGCAGCCGC
rnacentral:rRNA from 1 species